GCUGUGAUGGCUGAGGGGUUAAGGCAUUGGACUUGAAAUCCAAUGUGGUUUCCCGGUGCAGGUUUAAAUUCUGCUCACAGUG